UGUCACGCUAGUGGCCUCUACUCCAAUC
rnacentral:piRNA from 1 species